GUUAUAGCCAAAUUUUUGGGAAACUAUUGUAACUUGCACUUUCCCUAAAAUUUGGCAAUAACCGCAAUAUCACAAAAACGAGCUAUUGGCAAGCCAAUUGCGUGGGAUGCCAGCUGCUAUGUCCACAUUUUUUCUUUUUAAAUUCUAUGCAAUGGGUGCGCCGCAUAUUUUGCAUAUAUCCAGAGCAAGUACGCUAUCUUGUGCGAACAAUUCUACUUUGCUUAAAAAUGCUGCCCCUCAUUGCCCUUCUGUGUCCUGCAUUUAACAAUAAACAAGUAUUUAAUUAGUUUUAAGUUAGUAGUAGAUAGUUCAUCUUUGUUAUCUAAAAAGCAACAAUUUACCUAAUAAUAGAUUAACAAAAAAAACAAUUUAUAUAGCACUAAAAUCAGGUUAAAUAGUCAUUUGCGAAAAAACAAAAA